CCUACGGGAGGCAGCAGUGGGGAAUAUUGGGCAAUGGGCGCAAGCCUGACCCAGCAACGCCGCGUGAAGGAAGAAGGCUUUCGGGUUGUAAACUUCUUUUCUGAGGGACGAAGAAAGUGACGGUACCUCAGGAAUAAGCCACGGCUAACUACGUGCCAGCAGCCGCGGUAAUACGUAGGUGGCAAGCGUUAUCCGGAUUUAUUGGGUGUAAAGGGAGCGCAGGCGGUUCUGCAAGUCUGAUGUGAAAGCCCGGGGCUCAACCGCGGGACUGCAUUGGAAACUGCGGGACUGGAGUGUCGGGGGGGUAAGCGGAAUUCCUGGUGUAGCGGUGAAAUGCGUAGAUAUCAGGAGGAACACCGAUUGCGAAGGCAGCUUACUAAACUAUAACUGACACUGAAGCACGAAAGCGUGGGGAUCAAACAGGAUUAGAUACCCGUGUAGUC
rnacentral:rRNA from 1 species